CUGUAAGAUGUGGUGCAGGGUUAAGGGAUGCAGAUUGAUCCCAAAAGAGAACAGAGCUGAUCUUGAUAGAGGUUGGACCUCCGUAGAGCACCAGAUGUUGGCACUGAAAAGCAGUGACGGGGCUGGGGUACAGUUCAGGGCAGCUGGUCCCGGCCAGCAGCAGCUCAUGUCCAGCGUCCUCAGCAGCCUCUGAUCCCAGUGACAGCGUGACCAGGUCUCCCCUAGGAAACGGGUUCCUUUGAAGUUUUCAAAGGUGGCUCAGCCUCCCCGCUGCGUAUCCCAGCCCUAUGCAUACAGAGGCUCCCUUUUACCCGCAGGCGUUGGUCUCAGGCCUGGAUACAGGGAAGUGAAGAGCAUGGAGAAAAAGUGAGCAAGAAGGGAGAAGAAAAGGAGGUGGAUGGAAGUACACGGUGAAUCUCCAUAGCAAGGAAGCUUUCCAUCAUCCUAACUGAAAGAUCUUCAGGCACCAAACUCAUUAACAGAAGCACCUGGAGAGUCAGAACCAGCCCCCUCGCCUGAGAGCUGGAAACGGCUGAUGCGCUCCCCCUGCCGGCUGUUACGAAAACAAUCAAAUAACGUGAGGCUGGCAGCCUGGACAGGGAUGCUUCACAAAGAAACGAGAAAACGGCAGCCAUGCUGAGACUGUUCUGGGUUUGAAAAAUGCAGUUCUGGAGACAAGAGAGAAAAGAAAGGAGUAAUUCAAAACGGCUAGUUCCCUAAAGGAAUGUUUGAGAGAAUGGUUCUAAAAUGAAAAUGGUCUUUCAGCUUGAAAAUUUGCAGUGGCAGAUAGAUUCACACAGCCUGAAUUCAGAAUACAAAGAAAAGGCAAGAAAUGAGAUGUAAUCCUUGACUAAAAAUAAAAACAAUCACAAAAGCCAUACAUAGAUAUAUAGAAAAUGUUGACAAAAACAAUAUUUGAGUGCUUACUGUGAGCCAAGCACCAUUUAAGAGCUUUACCUUUAUUAUCUAAUCUUCAUAGCAAUCCUAUGAAAUAAUGCUAAUGUAUCAGAUGUGGAAAAUAGGGCAUACAGAUGUAAAGCAACUUGUAUAAGGCCAAGCAGCUAAAAAGUAGCAGUACUUUACAGGCAUAGAUACAGUAAACAAAAGGCAGGUGGAAGAGGGAUUACAGGUUGUUCUUAUCCAAAGUGUUUGGAGCCAGGUGCAGUAGAAUGUGCCUGUAACCCUAGCUACUUGAAAGGCUGAGACAGGAGGACCUUUUGAGCUCAGGAGUUUGAAUCCAGCCUGGGCAAU